rnacentral:rRNA from 1 species
CAAGUCGAACGAACCUUCGGGUUAGUGGCGGACGGGUGAGUAACGCGUGGGAAUCUGCCCUCAGGAGGGGGAUAACGGCUGGAAACGGCCGCUAAUACCCCAUAUGCCGAGAGGUGAAAUGAAUUUCGCCUGAGGAUGAGCCCGCGUCUGAUUAGCUAGUUGGUGAGGUAAGAGCUCACCAAGGCAUCGAUCAGUAGCUGGUCUGAGAGGAUGAUCAGCCACACUGGGACUGAGACACGGCCCAGACUCCUACGGGAGGCAGCAGUGGGGAAUUUUCCGCAAUGGGCGAAAGCCUGACGGAGCAACGCCGCGUGAGGGAUGAAGGCCUCUGGGCUGUAAACCUCUUUUCUCAAGGAAGAAGAUCUGACGGUACUUGAGGAAUAAGCCACGGCUAAUUCCGUGCCAGCAGCCGCGGUAAUACGGGAGUGGCAAGCGUUAUCCGGAAUUAUUGGGCGUAAAGCGUCCGCAGGCGGCCUUUCAAGUCUGCUGUUAAAACGUGGAGCUUAACUCCAUCAUGGCAGUGGAAACUGUUGGGCUUGAGUGUGGUAGGGGCAGAGGGAAUUCCCGGUGUAGCGGUGAAAUGCGUAGAUAUCGGGAAGAACACCAGUGGCGAAGGCGCUCUGCUGGGCCAUAACUGACGCUCAUGGACGAAAGCCAGGGGAGCGAAAGGGAUUAGAUACCCCUGUAGUCCUGGCCGUAAACGAUGAACACUAGGUGUCGGGGGAAUCGACCCCCUCAGUGUCGUAGCCAACGCGUUAAGUGUUCCGCCGGGGGAGUACGCACGCAAGUGUGAAACUCAAAGGAAUUGACGGGGGCCCGCACAAGCGGUGGAGUAUGUGUUUAAUUCGAUGCAACGCGAAGAACCUUACCAGGGUUUGACAUCCUGCGAAUCUCUUGCAAACGAGAGAGUGCCUUCGGGAACGCAGUGACAGGUGGUGCAUGACUGUCGUCAGCUCGUGUCGUGAAGAUGUUGGGUUAGUCCCGCACGAGCGCAACCCACGUCUUUAGUUGCCAGCAUUAGUGGGCACUCUAGAGAGACGCGUGAUAACCGGAGAGUGUGAUGACGUCAGUCAUCAUGCCCUUACUUCUGGACUACA